UACAGAGGGUGCAAGCGUUGUUCGGAAUUAUUGGGCGUAAAGCGCGUGUAGGCGGCCAAGCAAGUCGGGUGUGAAAGCCCUCGGCUUAACCGAGGAAGUGCACUCGAAACUGCCUGGCUCGAGUACUGGAGAGGAUGGCGGAAUUCCCCAAGUAGAGGUGAAAUUCGUAGAUAUGGGGAGGAACACCGGUGGCGAAGGCGGCCAUCUGGCCAGAUACUGACGCUGAGACGCGAAAGCGUGGGUAGCAAACAGG
rnacentral:rRNA from 1 species